AACCCUCCCCAAACCCUCCCCCAGACCCCCCAAACCCCGCCGGCGCGGGGGUCCCACCAUGGAGCUGGUGUAGGUGGGGUCUCCGCCGGCGGCGCCGCCGAGGGCGCGGGAGAGGCCGAAGUCGGAGACUUUGCAGACCAGCCGCGCGUCCACCAGGACGUUCCGCGCCGCCAGGUCGCGGUGCACGAAGCCGGCGCCGGCCAGGUAGCGCAUGCCGGCGGCGAUGCCGCGCAGCAUGGCCAGCAGCUGCAGCGCCGGCAGCCGGCCCGCGCGGCCCUGCCGCCGUGGAUCGGCCCAAAUCGGUGCCAGUGUCACCAGAUUGGCACCAAACCGGCACCAAAUUGGCACCGGUGGCACCAAAUCCCCUCAGUGUCACCAAAUAAUCACCAAAUCGUCACCAAAUCGGUGCCAGAUUGGCACCAGAUUGGUGCCAAAUCGGCACCAGAUCGGCACCGGUGUCACCAGAUCCCCUCAGUGUCACCAAAUCCCCCAGGUGUCCCCAAAUCAGCACCGGUGGCACCAGAUCCCCUCAGAGUCACCAAAUAACCACCAAAUCGGCACCGGUGUCACCAGAUCAGCACCAAAUCGGUGCCAGAUCGGCACCAGAUCGUCGCCGUGUCACCAAAUCCCCUCAAUGUCCCCAAAAUGUCCCCAAUGUUCUCAAAAUGUUCCCAGUGUCCCCAAAAUGUCCCCAAACCCCCCCAAACCCGUCCCCAAACACGCCCAAAUGUCCCCAAAACCCCCCAGACCCGUCCCCAAACACCUCCAAAUACCCUCAAAUACCCCCAAAUCCCCCCAAACCCCUCCCCAAAUCCCCUCAAGCACCCCCAAACCCCCAAACCCCUCCCCAAACUCCCCAAAUCCCGCCAAACCCCCCAAACCCCUCCCCAAAUCCCCCAAACUCCCCCAAAUCUCCCCCAAAUCCCCCCAAAUCCUCCCCAAACCCCUCCCCAAAUCCCCCCAAAUCCCCCCAACCCCCCCCAAAUCCUCUCCAAAUUUCCCCAAAUCCCCCCAAACCCCC
rnacentral:lncRNA from 1 species